rnacentral:rRNA from 1 species
GGCCCUUCGGGGUACUCGAGUGGCGAACGGGUGAGUAACACGUGGGUGAUCUGCCCUGCACUUCGGGAUAAGCCUGGGAAACUGGGUCUAAUACCGGAUAUGACCACAUGAUGCAUGUCGUGUGGUGGAAAGCUUUUGCGGUGUGGGAUGGGCCCGCGGCCUAUCAGCUUGUUGGUGGGGUCACGGCCUACCAAGGCGACGACGGGUAGCCGGCCUGAGAGGGUGACCGGCCACACUGGGACUGAGAUACGGCCCAGACUCCUACGGGAGGCAGCAGUGGGGAAUAUUGCACAAUGGGCGCAAGCCUGAUGCAGCGACGCCGCGUGAGGGACGACGGCCUUCGGGUUGUAAACCUCUUUCAGCACAGACGAAGCGCAAGUGACGGUAUGUGCAGAAGAAGGACCGGCCAACUACGUGCCAGCAGCCGCGGUAAUACGUAGGGUCCGAGCGUUGUCCGGAAUUACUGGGCGUAAAGAGCUCGUAGGUGGUUUGUCGCGUUGUUCGUGAAAACUCACAGCUCAACUGUGGGCGUGCGGGCGAUACGGGCAGACUAGAGUACUGCAGGGGAGACUGGAAUUCCUGGUGUAGCGGUGGAAUGCGCAGAUAUCAGGAGGAACACCGGUGGCGAAGGCGGGUCUCUGGGCAGUAACUGACGCUGAGGAGCGAAAGCGUGGGGAGCGAACAGGAUUAGAUACCCUGGUAGUCCACGCCGUAAACGGUGGGUACUAGGUGUGGGUUUCCUUCCUUGGGAUCCGUGCCGUAGCUAACGCAUUAAGUACCCCGCCUGGGGAGUACGGCCGCAAGGCUAAAACUCAAAGAAAUUGACGGGGGCCCGCACAAGCGGCGGAGCAUGUGGAUUAAUUCGAUGCAACGCGAAGAACCUUA